CAAUUUGCCAAAGGGGGAGUUUGUUGAUUCUAAGUGUUGGCAGCAAUUUUGGUAAAAUAAAGAGUGUUCACAAGAUGUCAUAUGUGAUGUCUUAACAUAAGAUAUCAUAUGUAUCUGCUGGAAGUUAUAUAAGGAAUUGUGGAUGUGUGGUGCUAGAUGUCAAGCUGCCACUGGAGGUGAGAAAGUGGUUUUAGGAAAUGGUGAUAGGGAGAAUACAUAAAGAAUGCAGACAAAAGUAGUGUCGAAUGUUAAGACAUAUCUUGCAACGGGUCUGACAGCAUU
rnacentral:lncRNA from 1 species